rnacentral:sRNA from 1 species
UUUCUGAAAGAUCAUGUCAUUUAUUUGAACCUUCCAAAGGUGGAACAUUUACUUUGGAAAGUUCAUGUAAAAUUGUGCAAAGAAUGAGGUGGUGGCUGAUCAUGGUGAUUUGUACUGUUUGAACUACCUUCCGGUGGAACAGGUCCUUUGGGAAGUUGAUGGAACCUUUUAGCACCAUUCAUAAUAUGUCUAGUGUGUGAAGAAUGAGGUGGUGGAUGAUCAUGGUGAUGUUUUGAACUACCUUCUGGUGGAACAGGUCCUUUGGGAAGUUGAUGGAACCUUUUAGCACCAUUCAUAAUAUGUCUAGUGUGUGAAGAAUGAGGUGGUGGAUGAUCAUGGUGAUGUUUUGAACUACCUUCU